GAUGAAGACGCAGCGAAAUGCGAUAAGUAAUGUGAAUUGCAGAAUUCAGUGAAUCAUCGAAUCUUUGAACGCACAUUGCGCCCCUUGGUAUUCCGAGGGGCAUGCCUGUUCGAGCGUCAUUAUAACCCUCAAGCUCAGCUUGGUGUUGGGGCCUGCUGCACUGGCAGCCCUUAAAAUCAGUGGCGGCGCCAUCUGGCUCUAAGCGUAGUAAUUCUUCUCGCUAUGGAGUCCUGGUGGAUGCUUGCCAUCAACCCCCAAUUUUUCUAUGGUUGACCUCGGAUCAGGUAGGGAUACCCGCUGAACUUAAGCAUAUCAAUAAGCGGAGGA
rnacentral:misc_RNA from 1 species